rnacentral:Y_RNA from 1 species
AGAUAUCUGAUACUACAAUGGUGUUUACAACUAAUUGAUCACAAACAGUUACAGAUUCCUUUGUUCCUUCUCCACUCCCACUGCUUCACUUGACUAGCCUUUA